CCUACGGGACGCACCAGUAGGGAAUCUUCCGCAAUGGACGAAAGUCUGACGGAGCAACGCCGCGUGAGUGAUGAAGGCUUUCGGGUCGUAAAACUCUGUUGUUAGGGAAGAACAAGUGCUAGUUGAAUAAGCUGGCACCUUGACGGUACCUAACCAGAAAGCCACGGCUAACUACGUGCCAGCAGCCGCGGUAAUACGUAGGUGGCAAGCGUUAUCCGGAAUUAUUGGGCGUAAGCGCGCGCGGGUGGUUUCUUAAGUCUGAUGUGAAAGCCCACGGCUCAACCGUGGAGGGUCAUUGGAAACUGGGAGACUUGAGUGCAAAAGAGGAAAGUGGAAUUCCAUGUGUAGCGGUGGAAUGCGUAGAGAUAUGGAGGAACACCAGUGGCGAAGGCGACUUUCUGGUCUGUAACUGACACUGAGGCGCGAAAGCGUGGGGAGCAAACAGGAUUAGAUACCCCAGUAGUC
rnacentral:rRNA from 1 species